rnacentral:rRNA from 1 species
CCUCUCGGGGGUAAGCGGGCAGAACUUGCAAGUAUUGAUAGAGGAUUCAGACUUAGUGUAAAUAAUUGUAUAUUACUGUUAAGUUGACUAUUCGUAGUAUAACUAAUUUUGAUGUAUUACUUUAUUUAUUUUGCGUCGCAUUUCUUCUAUCAUUCGGGUUGCAUACAAUUGAUUUGGUAAUUUAGGUAUUUAUUACUGUAUGUGGAAUUUUAUUCCAUGUAAGUUUAAAUUUUCCAAUUACUACUGCGAUUGUUAUAAUAAUAAAAUAAGCACAUGUUGCGGUCGUAUAUUUUUACGAGUUGUGUACUUUAUAUAUAUGGACAAGAAAUUGUAAUAUGUGUACUGUACUAACUGUCAGUGAGAAUACUAUGGCAUUAUUUUAUAUUGCAAUCUAAUGCAUGCGUGGUCUGCCUGU